ensembl:lncRNA
UACUUUCCGAAUGCACUGUAUUUUUGUUCAGUAUAAUUUCAAAUAAACAAACAAGUAAGGCUAUUAUACUUUUCUUGUGAUGAGUAAGUUCUAUUUUCUUGCCUUCACUACAUGGCACAAGCUGAACUGGUUUAGCAUAUACCUCAAAAUAUUAAAAUAGUUGCAACUUCCAAGCAGCAGUACAGGGUUCUUUUCAGACAAGCACAAAACUUACCAUAAAGCUACUAGUUGGAGCAUGAUUACAAAUUUGCAUGUCAAACAAUCAUAAUGUAUAGAACUGAAAAGUGUCAUGCUUUUGCAAGACAGAUCAUGUCUUUGUGGUUAUUUGUGCUGGCACGAUACCUAGGGUCCUUUCAGUCUCAUUUUUUAUUUUGGUCAGCAAAUAGUGACUGCGACAUGUCGCCAAAUCCAGCAGGUUGUAAAAUGCUACCUUUGACCAGAAUCUGUUAUAAGAAUGUUAACUAUAUAUCAGUAUUACAAUAAUAUACAUACCACAAUAACAAUCAGAACAACUGGUUGGCUAGAUGGUCUACUAUUGAGUUUAGAUAUGGUAAUGAUACAGUAAUAAUGACACGUAAAGUCAUGAGACCUUGCGCAACCUCAUGAGAAAUUACUAUUUUAUUAAAUUCCAAUUAAAUAUCCAGAACUUCAGUGGGAACACAGCUGCAUAUUUCAAUAGAUUAAUUUUCAGUGUUAAAAUCCCAACAUUUGUUUCAAAAAGUAUAAUCAACUUCCAACAAGCCUCUUCCUCUGUUUAAAUCAUUUGUGUCAAAAUAAUUCAGAGCAAGAUUAUUUAAAAAGCAGGUAUGCCCACAUUAGUGAAAUUUAAAAAAUGUUCUGCUUAAUCUCCAGCACAACAUCAACAUAUGUGAAAAUGUGAGGUUUCUAUGUUUUGUGAUAAAAAAACUGAGGAAGUGUCCAAUUAGUAGCUAAUGAUGGUAACUCAUUUGUUAAAAUCACACCAUGCACACUGAUGGGGUCAUUGAAAAUAUUCCUAUUUUUUAACAACAAAACAAACUAGCAAUUUUCACAUGUUGUUGCGGUGGUCCUCGAGAUUAUGAAUAUGAAGUUGAAAAAUUGUGAAAUUGUCCUUUAAGCCUGGAAUGUUUCAAAUGUUUCCAAAAUUGCUUACAGACAAUCAAAUUGAAAAUAAGUAAACACCUCCCAAAGAAAAACCACUGUACAUAAAGAAUAAAAAUACAACCACCUACAAAAGUGAAAUGUUCUGAGUUGGCGAACCUACAAUGUGACACUACACCACCUGCAAUUAGUCUGCCAUCCAGCAUUAUUUUUUAAAGUCCCAACAAGGUACCAAAACUAAUAAAUAAACAAAACCGUAAUUAUGUUUGCUUAAAAACACUUUAUGACCACUGCACAACAGAACAAUCCUCCAUAUUUAGCUGUGUUUUGAGCUAAAACCCUGUACCAAUUACAAAAUUGUUGAUAAAAAUAUUCCUCUGUUAAGGUAAUGGAUGUUUUAGGGAUAACAUAUGAGACUUGGGGGCCAUACAAGGGAGGGGAUUGGAUGGACGGGAGUAGUGCUACUCAGUCUUCUCAUCUGGAGUCUCUACCUGUAAGGUGACAAAAGAGCCAUUCACUGUGACACACUGAGAAUCCUGAAUGAUUAAUGCUUUUAGAUGGAUUUGCCUACAGAAAUAGUAAGAUACAACGACUAACUAAAAACAUCAACCUUCAACCUUGGUAAAAGAAAUGAGACCGUGUAUCACUGAUAUGGCAUGACAUACUUCAUCUGUCUUGAUCUCGCCAUUUUCAGUCUGGGUCUCCUCUUUAGGCUCCCCGACCGCUGCUGCCUUCGCCUUCUUCUUGUUAUUUACUUCUUUUUCUUUC